UCUAACAUGUACGCGAGUCAUUGGGACUUGUAAAGCCUAAAGGCGCAAUGAAAGUGAAGAUCGACUUUACGUCGAUCGAGGGAGGAUGGCUCGCGUCUCGAUGCGAGCCCGCACUCCCGGGGCGUCUCGUGCUCAUUGCGAGCUGAGGCGCACCCAGAGCGUACACGUUGGGACCCGAAAGAUGGUGAACUAUGCCUGGUCAGGACGAAGUCAGGGGAAACCCUGAUGGAGGUCCGUAGCGAUUCUGACGUGCAAAUCGAUCGUCGGAACUGGGUAUAGGGGCGAAAGACUAAUCGAACCAUCUAGUAGCUGGUUCCUUCCGA
rnacentral:rRNA from 1 species